GCCGACUUAGCUCAGCAGGCAGAGCAACUGACUUGUAAUCAUCAGGUCACCGGUUCGAUUCCGGUAGUCGGCACCA
rnacentral:tRNA from 1 species